rnacentral:lncRNA from 1 species
GGCUAUACUAAACAUAGAAUGUUUGAAUUCUUCCAUACUCACCUCGUAGGAGAGCAUUUCAAGCAAUCCCCCUUUAAUCCUCAAAAAGCGCCCCUGAAUUAGGUAAUCUCCAAGCUGAUAAUCAUAUGCAUGCUUCCUUAAUAGCUCACUAUCAAAGUACCACCCUGACUCAUCAAUUUUCAAAGCCUAAAUUCUAUUCUACUUCCUCCUUUUCAUAGUACGACCCUAGAAAUCUUUUGUGUUUUGAUCACCAUUCCAAAGCAAUUCAUGUUGUGACUUUUGGAACCAUAAAAGCUCCUCUUGAUGUAAAAUUUGUUCAAUUUCUGAGAGAAUUUCCAUUACUUUUCGUUUUAAACGUUCAAAACAGCAUCGUUCUAACCUUUCCUGAACCCAGUCCAACUUUCUCAAUGCCCUCAUUUUUCAUGAAAAAAUAUUCCCAAACGCUUUCUUAUUUCAAUCUUUAAUCUGCUGAGUUGACCUCUCCAAAUUCUCAAUAAUAGUAAUAUUAAAUCUCCAGGGUUUUGCAGCAACAUCAUGAAACUCUGGAAGAGUUUGCUAGCUUGCUAAGAAACGAAAGGACCUCUCACCCUCUCCUCCUUCAACCAUACUAGUCGAA